GGAAGUAGAAGUCGUAACAAGGUUUCCGUAGGUGAACCUGCGGAAGGAUCAUUAUUGAAUGAAACACUUCUGGCUUUAUGCUGUUGUGCUGGCCCUUUGGGCAAUGUGCACACGGCUCUGGUCACUUGUUUCUUCUGUUCCACCUGUGCACUGCCUGUAGACACGCUGUGUCUAUGAUAUUUGUUAACACACAACAAUGUUAGUUGGCAUGUUAUAUAUAAUAAUAAAAUAUACAACUUUCAACAACGGAUCUCUUGGCUCUC
rnacentral:misc_RNA from 1 species